rnacentral:rRNA from 1 species
GAAACGACUGCUAAUACCGCAUAAGCCCACGGCUCGGCAUCGAGCAGAGGGAAAAGGAGUGAUCCGCUUUGAGAUGGCCUCGCGUCCGAUUAGCUAGUUGGUGAGGUAACGGCCCACCAAGGCGACGAUCGGUAGCCGGACUGAGAGGUUGAACGGCCACAUUGGGACUGAGACACGGCCCAGACUCCUACGGGAGGCAGCAGUGGGGAAUAUUGCACAAUGGGGGAAACCCUGAUGCAGCGACGCCGCGUGGAGGAAGAAGGUCUUCGGAUUGUAAACUCCUGUUGUUGAGGAAGAUAAUGACGGUACUCAACAAGGAAGUGACGGCUAACUACGUGCCAGCAGCCGCGGUAAAACGUAGGUCACAAGCGUUGUCCGGAAUUACUGGGUGUAAAGGGAGCGCAGGCGGGAGAACAAGUUGGAAGUGAAAUCCAUGGGCUCAACCCAUGAACUGCUUUCAAAACAGUUUUUCUUGAGUAGUGCAGAGGUAGGCGGAAUUCCCGGUGUAGCGGUGGAAUGCGUAGAUAUCGGGAGGAACACCAGUGGCGAAGGCGGCCUACUGGGCACCAACUGACGCUGAGGCUCGAAAGUGUGGGUAGCAAACAGGAUUAGAUACCCUGGUAGUCCACACCGUAAACGAUGAUUGCUAGGUGUUGGAGGAUUGACCCCUUCAGUGCC